CCUACGGGGUGCAGCAGUGAGGAAUAUUGGUCAAUGGACGAGAGUCUGAACCAGCCAAGUAGCGUGAAGGAUGACUGCCCUAUGGGUUGUAAACUUCUUUUAUAUGGGAAUAAAAUGUUCCACGUGUGGGAUUUUGUAUGUACCUUAUGAAUAAGGAUCGGCUAAUUCCGUGCCAGCAGCCGCGGUAAUACGGAGGAUCCGAGCGUUAUCCGGAUUUAUUGGGUUUAAAGGGAGCGUAGGUGGAUUGUUAAGUGAGUUGUGAAAGUUUGCGGCUCAACCGUAGAAUUGCAGUUGAAACUGGCAGUCUUGAGUACAGUGGAGGUGGGCGGAAUUCGUGGUGUAGCGGUGAAAUGCUUAGAUAUCACGAAGAACUCCGAGUGCGAAGGCAGCUCACUGGACUGCAACUGACGCUGAGGCUCGAAAGUGUGGGUAUCGAACAGGAUUAGAUACCCCAGUAGUC
rnacentral:rRNA from 1 species